UACGUAGGGUCCGAGCGUUGUCCGGAAUUAUUGGGCGUAAAGGGCUCGUAGGCGGUUCGUCACGUCGGGAGUGAAAACUCGGGGCUUAACCCCGAGCCUGCUUCCGAUACGGGCAGACUAGAGGUAGGCAGGGGAGAGCGGAACUCCUGGUGUAGCGGUGGAAUGCGCAGAUAUCAGGAAGAACACCGGUGGCGAAGGCGGGUCUCUGGGCAACUACUGACGCUGAGGAGCGAAAGCGUGGGGAGCGAACAGG
rnacentral:rRNA from 1 species